rnacentral:rRNA from 1 species
CAUGAACGCUGGCGGCGUGCCUAAUACAUGCAAGUCGAACGAAUCUUCUUCGGAAGAUGAGUGGCGAACGGGUGAGUAAUACAUAGGUAACCUGCCCCUGUGCGGGGGAUAACAGGAGGAAACUCCUGCUAAUACCGCAUAGCCAUGAGCACCGCAUGGAGCUCAUGCCAAAUAUCCUUCAGGGGAUAGCGCAGGGAUGGACCUAUGGCGCAUUAGCUAGUUGGCGGGGCAACGGCCCACCAAGGCAACGAUGCGUAGCCGGCCUGAGAGGGCGGACGGCCACAUUGGGACUGAGACACGGCCCAGACUCCUACGGGAGGCAGCAGUAGGGAAUUUUCGGCAAUGGGGGAAACCCUGACCGAGCAACGCCGCGUGAGCGAAGAAGGCCUUCGGAUCGUAAAGCUCUGUUGUAAAGGAAGAACGUCGCAUGCAGGAAAUGGUGUGCGAGUGACGGUACUUUACCAGAAAGCCACGGCUAACUACGUGCCAGCCGCCGCCGUAAUAC